rnacentral:rRNA from 1 species
CGCUUGCUACAGGCUUAACACAUGCAAGUCGAGGGGCAGCAUGGUCUUAGCUUGCUAAGGCCGAUGGCGACCGGCGCACGGGUGAGUAACGCGUAUCCAACCUGCCUUACACUCUUGGACAGCCUUCUGAAAGGGAGAUUAAUACAAGAUGUUAUCAUGAGUAAGCAUUUUCGCAUGAUUAAAGGUUUACCGGUGUAAGAUGGGGAUGCGUUCCAUUAGAUAGUAGGCGGGGUAACGGCCCACCUAGUCUUCGAUGGAUAGGGGUUCUGAGAGGAAGGUCCCCCACAUUGGAACUGAGACACGGUCCAAACUCCUACGGGAGGCAGCAGUGAGGAAUAUUGGUCAAUGGACGAGAGUCUGAACCAGCCAAGUAGCGUGAAGGAUGAAGGUUCUAUGGAUUGUAAACUUCUUUUAUACGGGAAUAAACGAAUCCACGCGUGGAUUUUUGUAUGUACCGUAUGAAUAAGGAUCGGCUAACUCCGUGCCAGCAGCCGCGGUAAUACGGAGGAUCCGAGCGUUAUCCGGAUUUAUUGGGUUUAAAGGGAGCGUAGAUGGGUUGUUAAGUCAGUUGUGAAAGUUUGCGGCUCAACCGUAAAAUUGCAAUUGAUACUGGCAGUCUUGAGUACAGUUGAGGUAGGCGGAAUUCGUGGUGUAGCGGUGAAAUGCUUAGAUAUCACGAAGAACUCCGAUUGCGAAGGCAGCUUACUAACCUGUAACUGACAUUGAUGCUCGAAAGUGUGGGUAUCAAACAGGAUUAGAUACCCUGGUAGUCCACACGGUAAACGAUGAAUACUCGCUGUAGGCGAUAUACAGUCUGCGGCCAAGCGAAAGCAUUAAGUAUUCCACCUGGGGAGUACGCCGGCAACGGUGAAACUCAAAGGAAUUGACGGGGGCCCGCACAAGCGGAGGAACAUGUGGUUUAAUUCGAUGAUACGCGAGGAACCUUACCCGGGCUUAAAUUGCAACCGAAUAUGGCGGAAACGCUAUAGCUAGCAAUAGCGGUUGUGAAGGUGCUGCAUGGUUGUCGUCAGCUCGUGCCGUGAGGUGUCGGCUUAAGUGCCAUAACGAGCGCAACCCUUGCCGAUAGUUACUAACAGGUCAUGCUGAGGACUCUGUCGGGACUGCCAUCGUAAGAUGUGAGGAAGGUGGGGAUGACGUCAAAUCAGCACGGCCCUUACGUCCGGGGCUACACACGUGUUACAAUGGGGGGUACAGAGGGCUGCUACCACGCAAGUGGAUGCCAAUCCCAAAAACCUCUCUCAGUUCGGAUUGAAGUCUGCAACCCGACUUCAUGAAGCUGGAUUCGCUAGUAAUCGCGCAUCAGCCACGGCGCGGUGAAUACGUUCCCGGGCCUUGUACACACCGCCCGUCAAGCCAUGGGAGCCGGGGGUACCUGAAGUGCGUAACCGCAAGGAGCGCCCUAGGGUAAAACUGGUGACUG